rnacentral:rRNA from 1 species
UACGUAGGGGCCUAGCGUUGUCCGGAUUUAUUGGGCGUAAAGAGCUCGUAGGCGGUUUGGUGAGUCGGGUGUGAAAUCUCCACGCUCAACGUGGAGGGGCCACCCGAUACUGCCAUGACUAGAGUCCGGUAGGGGAGUGUGGAAUUCCCGGUGUAGCGGUGAAAUGCGCAGAUAUCGGAAGAACACCAGUGGCGAAGGCGGCUCACUGGCCCGGUACUGACGCUGAUGUGCGAAAGCGUGGGAGCAAACAGG